rnacentral:rRNA from 1 species
CCUACGGGGGGCAGCAGUGAGGAAUAUUGGUCAAUGGCCGCAAGCCUGACCCAGCAACGCCGCGUGAAGGAAGAAGGCUUUCGGGUUGUAAACUUCUUUUGUCAGGGAAGAGUAGAAGACGGUACCUGACGAAUAAGCCACGGCUAACUACGUGCCAGCAGCCGCGGUAAUACGUAGGUGGCAAGCGUUGUCCGGAUUUACUGGGUGUAAAGGGCGUGUAGCCGGGUUGACAAGUCAGAUGUGAAAUCCUGCGGCUUAACCGCAGAACUGCAUUUGAAACUGUUGAUCUUGAGUACUGGAGAGGCAUACGGAAUUCCUAGUGUAGCGGUGAAAUGCGUAGAUAUUAGGAGGAACACCAGUGGCGAAGGCGGUCUGCUGGACAGCAACUGACGGUGAGGCGCGAAAGCGUGGGGAGCAAACAGGAUUAGAUACCCUUGUAGUC